rnacentral:rRNA from 1 species
UACGAAGGGGGCUAGCGUUGCUCGGAAUCACUGGGCGUAAAGCGCACGUAGGCGGAUUUCUAAGUCGGGGGUGAAAUCCUGGAGCUCAACUCCAGAACUGCCUUCGAUACUGGAAAUCUCGAGUCCGGGAGAGGUGAGUGGAACUCCGAGUGUAGAGGUGAAAUUCGUAGAUAUUCGGAAGAACACCAGUGGCGAAGGCGGCUCGCUGGCCCGGUACUGACGCUGAGGUGCGAAAGCGUGGGGAGCAAACAGG